rnacentral:rRNA from 1 species
AGAGUUUGACCUGGCUCACGACGAACGUUGGCAGUGCGCUUAAUGCAUGCAAGUCGAGGGAGAACCUUUCGAUCCGUAAGGACCGAAUGGGGAAACCGGCGAACGGGUGCGUAACACUUGAGGAACCUGCCCCGAAGACCGGGAUAGCCCGAGGAAACUCGGAUUAAUACCGGAUACCCUCCUCGGACCACAUGGUCUGUUGAGGAAAUGGUCCGCCGCUUCGGGAUGGCCUCGCGGCCUAUCAGCUUGUUGGUGAGGUAACGGCUCACCAAGGCAAAGACGGGUAGCUGGUCUGAGAGGACGAUCAGCCUCACUGGGACUGAGACACGGCCCAGACUCCUACGGGAGGCAGCAGCAGGGAAUAUUGCACAAUGGGCGAAAGCCUGAUGCAGCGACACCGCGUGCGGGAUGAAGGCCCUCGGGUUGUAAACCGCUUUCAGGAGGGACGAAAAUGACCGUACCUCCAGAAGAAGGCCCGGCCCACUACGUGCCAGCAGCCGCGGUAAUACGUAGGGGCCCAACGUUGUCCGGAUUUAUUGGGCGUAAAGGGCUCGUAGGCGGUUCCACAAGUCCAUCGUGAAAGCCCGGGGCUCAACCCCGGGACCCCCGGUCGAAACUGUUGUGACUAGGGUCCGGCAGAGGUGAGUGGAAUUCUCGGUGUAGCGCUGGAAUGCCCCCAUACCCCGAGGAACACCCGCU